UUUAAUUGUAGUGCUUUAAUAUAAAAAAAAAAGUACAUACAAGUUCUAAACUCCUGUUUUCUGCAAUCGUUUACACUUUUUCUAAGUUGCAACAGAAUAUUAGCUACGUAGGUAGUCAACACUGCUAACAAACUACAGUACAAGUUACUAAUAACAGUACAAGAUGCUUGGAAUACAUUCUUGCAAAUGUGUAUGAAUACCAAAGAAAUCCUGCAAAGUUGAGAGGUUCCAACACACGUUGCCCUCUUCUCUCAAACCUCUGUAGGAUUUCACUCACGGUUUUCCUAACCAUGAAAACACAGAAGGGCUGAUCCUUGGCUGGUGCAAACUGGGGUAGCUCCUUUAGCACCCAGGGAGCAAUGUCAGUUGUCGUGAGCAAAGGGUGUGAUUCACUCUGUGCUCAGACAGGUACCUUCAGGCUGGGGGGGGAACAUCACACAUGUCUCCACGUGUGACAAACCGAUGGGCCUUCUUGAUCAGUGCUGGCUUAUAGCAUUGAGCAACAUGGUUUUUUUGAGGGUUUCAAAACUGAUCUGUUUCUGCUGGCAGAAGCCAGAUCAGGACUACUUAAGAACAGUUGGGAGCACUCUGGAUUCUCAUGCCGCUCUGUGCAAAGCUGUGCAAAUCUCCCUCGAAAAGCAUCAAGUUUGAAGCGUAGGAACCCACCCCAUCACCUCUCCUCCCCCACAAAAGGCUGGCAAAGCUAUCAAGCACUUAAGAAAACUGAGUGUGAGAUAAGAGGAGCAGAGGUCCUCCACACAAGCCAUAUCAAAACAAAUCUCUACAUACGCACAUUGUAACAAUACAGUCACUUCAGAGUUCAAAAGAAAGGUUCACAUUUACAAAGGAGGGAAAGAGAAAAAUAACACAAGAAGCUGUCCUUAUGAUUAUGUUCUGGUUCCUAAACCUGUAACCUUGGUCUGUGGCCACCAAAGUAAAUGAAUACCAAGCAGCAUAGUGUAAACUCCAAUUAGGCCUCACAUGGGGAACCAACAGGCAACCUGGAGGUAGUGUACGUAGCUGAAAAGGAAUUUGAAAGAAAUGACAGGCAUUUUUAUACUAUUCUUGUACAUUUACAUGAUUGAAGACACUGUGACAAAUGUGCUGCAGUGACAUCGCCUUGUGAGCCCACCUCCUCGCCACCCCAGCUUCAGUCACAGAAGGGUGUUUUCUCUGAAGCAAGAGGGAAGUCUUGGGUAUUCGUCAGGCAGCAAGUCUUAUUUUCUCACUCAGUUGUUCUGGCUUGCAUCUGUACUUACCCUGUGACUAACAGGACAAUCAGUUUCAUCUGAGACUGACAGGUUUUUCUCAUGAGCAUUGAUACAAAACCUCCUUAUCACUAUUGCCCUGAGCACCAAUAUUUCAAUGGCACUCAUCAGUCAGCAGCACCCCAGAACCCCUCCAAUCUAUUCACUGACUGGUAUUAGAUUAUUCUGGUGGGAAGCUGCGGGAGUUGGCAAACCCAUGUCAAGGCCAGCUUUUUGAUUCAUCUGGACGUUACGAAAAGACUGAACGCCAGUGGCUCCAGCUUGGAGCAAAGACACAAAAGUCAAGUUCUCUUCUGCUGCAGAGAGGACAAAAGGCUAUUUAGGGGAUACAGUGGUUGGCAGAUUGUAGAAGACAUGAUGGUGGCUCAGGGUAAGAAAACUUUUUCAGCUGUACUGCCUUUUCACUGACUGAUUUUCUAUUCACAUUAAGUUUUAAGUAUUCCUAAUUUUCUCCAGCCAUGUUGUCUUGGCACCACAGUCAACACAUUACAAAAGUCAUUACAGUGCAGCCAUGUAUAUGUAGGGGUACGUACAGCCAGGAGGUGGAGCAGGCUCCAGCCCACAUUUUGUUGUUUCUGUAAGGGUAGAUCCCAGCUAGGUGAAACAGAGAUAACCUAGAGCAUCCUCCAUGUUGAAAAGAAGGCUGUGAGUAUAUAAACAGAUAAAAACCUCAAGAACUAAACAGCAGGAAUGGGCAUUAAUAGAACGGCCCCUGCUUUGCAGCUAACUAACUCAGGUGCUCUAAAAUAUCUCUCAGCUCAAAUCAUUUUACCUUGCAGAACAUGCAGAAGAAAGAGGUGUUGUGAAUGCAGGGAAUGGCUGUGGUUUCUCAAUAUUGCCCAGAAAUACCCAGUCUGCCUGCUCUUCCCUUGCCCCCUCCCUUUAUAACAACAGCUCUUUUGCUUCAAUGGCUAGCUGGUAAGACAAGACUAUUUAAUUACGAACAAACUCCAAGGUCAAGGUAUUAGAAGACUGGAAACAGAUACCCUGCUACUUUUCUAACAAACAAUAUAUUGUACACCUAAUUCUUCUCUGAAUCGUCUCUCCAAGGAGCAUAGCAUCACAAGGGCAAGAUUUCCAUCUAUCAUGAGCUGGCACAACCAGUUCUAAGAAUUAAAAUGUAGAUCAGGCCUCCCUCCGGUCUUUGUCUCCCGUGCCAGAAAUGCUCCCUGCCCCCCAGAGACACCAGUUCUCUCUGAACAUUUGUGUGAGAUAGACAGUUCUGCACUUGGAGCCCCAGGGUGGAUCAUCAAUUGCUCUUAUGCUGGCCACACGCCAACCAGCAGGAACAUUGUUUGUCUACUUCAUGUAUUUCUUAAACUAUACACAAACUAAAAUGUAAAGAAACUGUACCCCAUACCCAAACUUAGCUAUUAGACUAGGAAGGGCUACAGGAAUGUACUUACUUCUUCAGAAAUUCCCCAAAGAUCAAAUUGGGAUCUUCUCAUGUUGUCGGAUGUUUUUUCAUCUUUAGGCUGUGUUAAGUUUUAGACCACAACUGUUGUGUGUGUCAGUGACCUUUCAUUGAAAGGGAUUUGCACGAGAAAUAAACCCUGAUGAUUUCAUCACUGCAGUAUUGAGCAUCAUCAUGGGUAAGAGAGUCUCUGAUGACUGAAAGAGCCUCUCAGGAUCACUUGUCUGACACCUGGACUUCAGGACACUCUGGACCUUCCAUGACCCUCAUAAAACACCUUCAUUUUUUUGCAGAGGGCUUCCAGGGACACACUCUGACAGCAAGAGCCAAGUCACAGAAAUAGGUCAUACAGUGUCUUGAUGGUUCUACUCAUUCUGAUGAUGAGAAGCGGGGUAGGAAGAACCCAGCUGGACCCCAGAGCUCAAAGCUAGACAUUGCAUAAAUACCUUUUUACUUCCAAACUGAGGAGACUUGAUAGCAAAAUCAAUAAGGUACUGCAAAUAAAAGCCCUCCGGUUACUUCUUGAAGCCAUUUUUAAGGAUAAAACAGUGCCAGAUAAAGGAGCAAGCCUCUUAAGUCAGAACACAGUUCUUAGAUGUUUAGCUCCCAAAUUGAAUUAUACUUAAAAGAGGAAGGGAAGUAACCUAAAAGCCUUUACAGUCUAUUUUUAAAUGAGGGGAUGUUUUUCAUUUAAUUCUCAAUAACGCAAUAACUUGAAAAUAACUGAGGAAACCAUGUACUCCCAGAUGGUCUGUUUUCUGUGUGCUCUGGUGAAGCUGCUAUGACUCCACCACAUUAAAAAAAGACAUACAUUAUUCUGUAGCAAUUGUCCAUGACACUGAGGCUUACAACAUAAAUAUUGCAAUACCUCAUCCAGUUUCUGUAUGACACACCAUGUUUUAUUGCAGUAAUGUCUCAUAAUAGAUGAAGGUGCUGCAGGGUCCUGUUUGGCCAAUUGCUAUAGGACCCUGGAGUGCACUAUCAUAAGGAGGGAAUAUCUCCCACAGGAAGGGAGUUAAGAUGAGGUCUAGAUGUCAGGAGAAAUGGCUAAAGGCUUCGCAGACAAUGCUGAGCAAAUCUUUGCUGUGCCUCUUCCCCCACCCCCAGCCCCUCCGUGCGGGGUGGGGGGGGGGGGGGGGUUGUUUCCUCGCUGGCAGAUAGCGCUGGAUGCAAGGUAAUGGAGCAAAGCCCUACUAUGCACAGCAGAAUGCCUCUAAAUCAAGAAGCCAGUGUUUUUCGCCAACGUGACAGAUUGAAAAAUGCUUCUGGUACUUCCAUGAGUGGGUUACUAAGCAACACUUUGGCUUCCAGGGAGCAGCCGUGCUGGAUGUGAUCUCCUGCCAUCAGCCUGACCACGUCCCCAGCUGCGCACCAGGGGAAGGAGGACACGUGUGCUGGCAGCAGUGCCGCGUGGCUUCCCCCGUGCAGAACGGAUUCCCUCAGGAUGAGCUGGCACCACAGAGGAAAAUAUCCCAGGGGUGACCUCGGGACCACUCAAGGGGUGGCUAAAAAGCAAAGAUAUUGUCAGGAGGUACCACUGGGAGGGAAGGCUUGCUUAGGAGGUUUGCAUACCAUUCGCUAAACCUACGGCAUAUCCCUCAUGCAAACUUCCACUUCAGGCUGUUGUGGAACAAACGGAGCUGAAGAGGACUGACUCCAGGGACAGGUGCUAACAACAGGGGCUGGAGAAGAUUUCCACAUGAGGAGAGAGUGAGAGAGAUCAAAAAGACUGGAACAGAUUAGAAAUGGAGAAGGGAGGUGAGCUCAGAGCCAAGUGAAGUGAGGCCUGAUACAGCAGAGGAGAAUCACGUGCUGUUGUUCACUAUUUGCUAAUACAGCAAUAAGGGGGUUACAGAAAAUCAAAAGGCAAUAUACUGGAAACUGAGCAAUCAAAUCCAAACUCUAUGGAGUUAGGGGGAAAUUUACCCUGGUUGCUACUGCUCCAUAAUCAUCUGCUGCGGUGUCUCACUUUGCUUUGAAGCCUGUGACAUGGCACCACCAGAACAAGGCUGAACCCAAACCCAAAGUAAACAGACCAGACUCGUCUGGGGCAGAAAUGCCUAUUUUCUUGUAUAUGCUGAGUGUUCUCAACUAGCAAGAAAUACACAUUUUUAAAUAAAGACCAAAGACUAGGGCUACUUAGAUUGGGCCUUUUUAAGACACCAGACCAGCCUCUUGGCUUAAAGUCAAUCGAGGAAUGGUGAUUGAGAGAGCUGAGAAGCUGACCUAACAUUUAGUGAAUUUGUACUCUUUCAUUUGUUAAUAAAAUCAUGUUCCAAAUACGUCUGCAAUUAUAUUGUAAGGGGUAAUGCUUUUUCUUAUUUUGUUAGAAUGCUGACACGUCUUUAGCAAAACAAAUAAGAUAUUCUCCCUCCUUCUCUUUCAAGGUCAGUAACACUUGUUAUAGGACUCUAGAUCUACUUCUGGUAGGUGAGCCAUAUUUACAGCAAAUAACAUUAACAUGAAACACAAAUAUAUAUAUAUUUAUAUAUACAACUUAAAGUCUUUCUAAUUAAAAUUAAAUACUACAGCAUCACACGGUAAGGCUCUACCAAUGUAUUAAUGGGGAUGUCACUAUUUUGGGAUCAUUACUUGAGCAUUUCAAAAGUGCAUUAAAAAGCUGAUGACAUCACGGUUUUAUCUGAGAAGCACUGUGAUGUCACAGAUUUAGCCUCGUUCUUUCCCCCCUUAUGAAUAAUUGUGACAAUGUUGAACGACUGUCAAAUAAAGGUUCAAUAGCGAAGAUCCUAACUCAGUCUCCUCCACCCCCAGUUUUAGUUGAUACUUUUCUUUGCAGCCACUUUUAGUGAAAAAGAAAGAAAAAAAAAAGCCAACCACGUCUGAAAUGGCAGAUGAGGAACAGGCGAAGUAAUAGCUUAAAAAGUACACAAACUUCUGGUUCUUAGGAGAUCUGACCGUCUAGCACAGACAACAAUUUACUUGAAUGCUCUCAAGCCUCUCUUACAUCUGCAAUUCAAUGAAACAGAUUAUUCCUGGACCUGUCCCCGUUGCUGCUGACCCAGGCUACGGUGCUGGAAGAAAGUCAGAGUAAACUAGAGGACUGUUGAUCUCUGCUGCAGCACAAAAAAGGAAUGCCAUCAAGAAUACGAAGACUGAGAACUGCCCUUCUCUCACCUUGCCUUCUGAAACGCGGGGAGAGAGGGAACAUUUCCUGACUCACUGUGGAGGUGAAACCUUGGGUUUGCUGCAAUGCACUGGACCAGACUGGUGACUAGACUGACGGGAGUCUGAAAGAAAACAUCAGGACCUGAAAAAUCAGCAAUUUUCCAGCAUGAAGGGCUUUGUUGUUAACUUUAUGCAUGCGCAGGGCAGUAAGCUGAUCUGGAAAUAGUAGCUUCUUCAUUUCAAAAUAACAGUACCAAUGCAUAUCCUAAAUGUGAGAGUGAAUACUGUAGUAUAAUACUUUGCAUUUUCACCCAGGGUGGCUGAAAGGCAUUGCAAACAUUAAUAAGCUAUUGGCUUAAUUCCCCAGCAGCAAAACACCUGGUGUUCUCACUGACAUUUGUGAAAUAAAGGGAUAAACACUAAAAAGUCUGUCCCUCCCCUGUUCCCUGGAGGAGCUGUUGUUUGCCAUUCCUGCAGACACUCAUCUGAGUGCCUCGAUGGGCAGCGGUGGUGGCACCUGGCAAAGGCUCCCAUGGUGCAGCUGGAGAGGCGGGACUGCAACACACCACUCCUUGGCCCAGAGUGGUGCCAUGAUCCCUGCUGGACGUGCUGAUGGUGAGAAGCUAUGGACGGGUACAAUGAGAUGAAAAGAGCAGCUCACUAAGCGGGACACCACUCCUGUCCACCUGCUCCUCUCUGCAGAACUUAUUUUCACAAAAACGUGCAACUGCUUUACUGUUAACAUUUCAGAUGAGGACUUCCUCCUGCCAACAUGCAGUCUCCCACAACAAGUGACAACUCAAUCCAUCUUUAAUUGCCUCCUCCAUGAGAUUUGCAUUUUUCUGUCCUCCUAGACUGGUGCCGAAGUGUUCCCAAUAUAUUCACUGUUGCUUUGUCCAUUUUUUUAUAUCAGGAAAACAUAAAACAUUUUUCCCUUCUGCUCUAAAGACAGUUUUAUAGACUAACAGUUGGCAUUGCUAACUGAUUGGGUAGACAGACAGACAAGAUCAACCGAUUAAAGAUGUCUCACUAAGGAAGUGUCUCUACUACUCAAGAUUACCAUUUGCUCUGUUUUAUUUAUCUUCUUUUAGAUGUACCCAGUUGCAUCAUCUUAGAGGAUUCUUAUUCCUCCAUAGAUGCUAACUUUCUGUUAAGUAGAUACUGUGUUUUUUUUUCUAAUGCAAGGUCUUGAUGCGUUGAAACACAGUUUCAACUUUUCUGAUAUUUCCUCCACAUUUUUUACAUGAAAUAAUUUGUCAGAUUGCACUUGGGUAUGUGAAUAAUUGUGGUCCCCUCAGAAGCACCUUUUUUUUUUUUCCCGAAAUAAAUUUAUUUCACACAGAAAGAUCAUGCCCAGCUCUACCUGGAAUUUCCUUGCACACAAUGUACACCGCUCCUCCAGCAGUGGCAAGCUUAAUUAAUAUUCCUUUCUACCCCCAUCCUGUCCUCACCUCCCAAAUGACCCCUGUCAAAAGAGAUGCUGUAGGUGUGAGGAACAUCCACUAGCCCAACAGCAUGGCACAGGGCGGGAGGCUCUUGCUUUGGGGCAGAAUUUACUGAGCCCUUUUUAAAGAAAGGUGAGGAAUAACAAUUUCAAAGUUAUUUUGAGUAAUAUGUGUUUCAGAACACACUUAAUGGUGACUUUCCUAGCUCAAGGAGUGUCCUAAGGUAUGUUUUCUCAAAUGCUUCAGAUGCAAUCUGAAGACUGAGACCAUUUCUCUGCCCCUGCUGGCUUCCAGAAAACUGGACAGCCCAGCAUUCAUGUUCUAUGGAGGGAAAGCCAGAACCAAGCCAUUGUUUCACACAAUGCAGUCUGAAUUGUUCAUUCUCUGGAGAAGCCUGAGGUACCUAGCACCAACAGCUGCCAUUGAGGGCACGAAGGAGGUAAUGCACUAUUUACUGCAUUCAUAAAGACAAUUUUCUGUAACUGACCUUUUUUAGAUUUACCCAAAAUGGGUUAAAAAUGAGAAGGGUUUCAUGAAUAUGUUUAACAUAUUUUAAAGCCAUUACCCAGACACAGCUUUAUUUAAAUACAUCCCCUCGACUGGUAAACAUCUGUUUUUAUAAUAAGGACAGGAAGAACAAUUACAUCAUCUAGUCUAGCUUCCUCUACAACACAAGCCUUUUCCAGUCAGACAUUCUUGUGAUUAACUAAAAUUGCAUUUAAUUAAAAUAUGUCUUCUGGGAAACUGCCCAGUCUUGAUUUGAAGACUUUGAGGGAUGCAGAAUCUACCACCUCCUAUGGUAGUUUGGCCUGAUUUGUGCUAAAAAAUAGCUUGCCUUGCCUACUCAGAAGAGUUUUGAAAUACGUCAGAGUUUGAUCACCCUGAGGACUGCCAACGAGCUCACACAUGGAGUGUGAACUUCACCACAGAGGGGAGCGGGAGCAGGUACAGAGAUGAUUUACUGGGUACAUCACUUUAAAAAAAAAAAAAGGCAAAAAAGAGAAAUCCCAGCUAUCCCCAGAGCAGAUAAGGAGCACACCUUGAAUUUUGUCUCAGUUUGGUCUGCCAGGCUAAAGGGAAGACCAAACUGCCUUCACUAGCAGCUUUCCCUGCUCACAUGUCUUUGUCAGUGCUCAGGAAAAACAUCCCCUUGCUGCUCUGCCCAAUGCACGACAAACAUAUACUUUCCAACAAAUCCAUUCCAUUUUUAAAAGCUGAUGGGAUCUUACACUGAUCUCCAACAAUAUUUUGCCACCAAAGAUCUAGCCAUCCAUCCUUCUGUCAUACCUCAUUAGCGAUGAAACUUCAGCAGUGCCACUAACGAAUACUUACAACCAUGAACGAUGCUGUUCACUAUAGUGUGGGAGGAGAAAAUAGCCAGUGGUAUGGAUCACAAGGGCAAAACAGGAAAGCAGGUGUGCAUGCAGAGCAGAGAUCAUUCAGCAAUGUCUCCAUCACAGGGACAGAGAGCACUGACCUGCACCAGCUGGUCCCACCAACAGCCCACAGAGGGCUACCAGAGAUUUAGGUGAUGCAUCCAGGAGGAUCACACCACCUCCUGAUCAUGUCCCUAGGACCACCCAUCAAACCAGGUAACAGCAGACAGGGCGGUGGGAAUGGCACAGAAAGCUGAAUGGGACCACAGGGACGGGCAGUUCCUCAAACUGUGAGUGAGGAAGAUUCUUCGUUUGACUUUUUUUUUAGAGCUUUGUCCAGCCAUGUACCAGACACGUCAUGCAGGUCUGUGGACUCCCACUUUGAACUCUCUGCAUGUGAUACUCAAAUAUCUUUGUACGCUCGGCUCACCCAGGGGGCAGUCACACAGAAACUAAGGUAUUGGAUGAAUCCCAGGUAGCUAGCUCAGCUGCUCCAGAAGAAAUUUGGUCCAAUACGACUAGGAUAAAUACUUUCUAAACUCCUUUUCUAACAGAUUAAAAUACUCCCACUGCAGCCUGAAAUUACUUCAUGAAAGCACAUGGGAAAAUCCAACAGCUGACAUGGCUACUGUACAAGCUACAAAACGUAAAAGGUGAAGAAACUAUCUAAAUAAUGAGGAAAAGUGCAUUAGGUCAGUAAAGUUCAUUCUAACUAAGUGUAAUUAGCAGGAGAAGGAAGAAAAAUUAGCUCACUGAUAUUCUUUCACAAUGUCCUUUCAAGUGUUCAGGGACAUUUAAUUUUGCAGAAAAGUUUCAACCAAUAUAAAUAUCCCAAAUAUAAUCUUCAGUGUCCUUACCUACUAGUACAGGCAACCUGAACCACAUGCUGCCUGGGACUCUCAUAACUUUAUAUUUUAAUCCCACUUAAAUCUAUGCAUAGAAAGUAAUAUACAUCAUACCCAGGAAAAUGAUCUUUCUGGGCUACUUGGCAGUCUGGGGAGUUGCGUGUUUUUAACCUUAAAGAUGCAUCUGGUAAAAAAUGGUUAAUGUACUCAUUUGUCCUCCUAGCAAUGUUCUAAGUUAUUCAAAGGGACUCAACUCUAAAAAUAUUUUUUCCAAUGAUGCUCUUGCUUAAUGUUUCUCCAUUUCACAUGUAGAGGUUUGUUUAAACAAAGUACACCUAUUUCUAUUUAAAUUUUAAAAUAACUACGAAAAUCUUUCCUUCCAUAUUAGGUUCAGUAAAUUACUCCUUUAUCUAGAGCUUGGGAAGGUUUUUGCCAAAUUAUCAUGUUUGUCAAAAAUGCAGUUGUAUAGAAUUGUGGGGCAAAAUGAUUAGAACAUUCAGAUAGAUCCUGGUAACUAUUUUGAUUUAAAAAAAAAAAGUACAACUUUUCCUGAUUAGACAAUUCCUAAAAUAAAAUUUCCAUUUUCAAUUGCAGAAUAUUUCAGUUUAGAAAUUAAAAAAAAAUAAUCGAAAGUGCUUCAUAUCACCCUAAGCCAAUGUUGCUCCUUUUUUUCGACUUACUUUAGAUGGCUCAGAAAACUGACACCUUCAUUUUCUAUGAUCUACUUAAAAUGACACUUUGCUUUCAUUCAGUUUUCUGAGCUAAAUGGCAAGACAGUUAAGAUACAUAACCAUUCACAAUUUUUUUGAGCAAAAA